ensembl:lncRNA
AACCCUUAGACAUCCAGGACACUAGGGAGACCACCCGGGUCCCUAGGCCACUGCCCUGCAUCCUGUCCUUUGAAUCUGACCUCAUCCAUUAGAGCACUUGCUCUCCCGCAGCCCUCUCCUUCCAGCGGUAAGACCAAAGGUGGUAGAGGCAACCCCAAAAUCCACUUGAAAGGCUGGCCAAUGAGUGAGUUUUUCAUGAUCUAAAAGGUUAUGAAGUAAAAGAGAGACUGAGCCUGCGGCACCAGAGAGGCCUGUCGUUAGAAGGAGGGAAAAACAGAGCAAACACAUAUAACUCACCCUGCCCAGGGUGCUGAGAACUGGAGACCGCCUCCCUGCCUUUUUCACCCUGGCGGUGAUGAGCACAGGGGACAUCAUUCUCUGUCUAGACAGUGUCCUGUGGCACAGGGCCGCCCUAUGACAAGUCUCCUGAAGGUCCUGCUCUCACUUCCCUCCUGACGGAAACACUCAGGCUGGCCCAGCUAACCUCACUAAGUGCCCACACCCAAGAACUGCCCGUAGGGGCGGCCUCUCCCGUGUCCCCUGUGCCCCCGGCCCAGAGCCUUCUCCGGGAGCCCACAGAGAGCUGGAGAAGAAGGAGAGCAUCAGGGCCACUGCGUGUGGGUGUGGAGCUUGGCCUGAGGGGACAAGUGGGGCUGCUUCUGUCAACUGGAGGGGCCCAGUCAUCCCAGAGCUGGCCCUUGUUCUAACAGCCACAGAGGCUCCAAGAAGGUGGAAGGGGGCUGAUUCCUCCAGUUCUCCCAGAAACUGCACACCAACCCCCUUCACUACGUUUCUGCACUCAGAGGCUGCCUCUAACCAAAGAGAGGGGCAGCUGCAGGGUUGGCACAUCGCCUGCCGUAAAUCAGGACAUUCAGAAAGGCGGCUCAAGACAGGUAGACCCUAGCCACGUGUGGCUUCAGGCUCUUGAAACACGGCUGGUCCAAAUGGAGAUGUCCUUUAGCCCAAAAAAUUGUGAUGGAAGCAAUAGACAUCACUGCCAGCCUGCAUCUUCCUUGUCCUCCCUCCCUUCUCUUCUCUGCCAGUGAAUGCACAGCAUCCAGGAGGACUCAGGGCACUAGAAGAUGGCAGUACCUCCAGACGUAAGGAGCCCAAGUGACAGCAUGCAGGAGUUCCUCCCUCCCCAGCCCACACCUCGAAGAGACUUGCACAGGACUGUAAUGAGAGUGAGAAAUAAACCUUUUUAAAAGCCCCUGAGAUAUUGGGGUCAUGUAUUACAACGCUUAGCCGUUCUUGAUUAAUAUAGGUUAAGAAUUCCUCCAUUGUUUCAAUAGUGGUGUUUGUUAGCCCAAUUUGAUCUUUAAGCAGUGAAACUUCAAAAGUAACAAGACAAUUUUUUUCACGCUGAAGUGGUAGACACAAAAUAAUACUGAUAUUUUAAGUCCACUUUUUUUUUUUUUGACAUCACAAAUGGGCAUAUGUUUUCGUAGUGAAACUGCUCUCAUUAAGAAGCUUUACUGCUGGAGAAAAUAAGCCUUCCCUCUGUCUGAAGCGCUCCAACAGCAAAGACAGGCUGAGUUAGAGAUGCUGGCAUUCCACAGCCAUAUCCUCAGGCCCUUUUCUUCAUCAGGUUCUCUCUCGUAUGUGCGGUUGACCUAAAAUCCCAUCCCCUCUUGAAUAGCCUGAACGGCCGUGUGUGGAGUAGGAAUUAUAGUGCUUCCUCCCUCCCACAUUUAGUUUUUCUGUCUCUACCUUCAUAACUUUUAGAAGCUUAAAGCUCCUUUUUUUUUAGCAUUCAACCCAGAGAGAAAUACUAGUGCAUUAGAAUGCUUUGAGUAUUCCUCUUGAAAAGCAUUUCCUCUUUUGGAAACUUGAGUAAUUUCUAAAUCAGUAAGGCAGGCAUGCAUAGCGAAUAGGGAAAAUACUGCAGAAUGCAGUUUUCUGGCCCCUCUGGUUCAUUCUCAGGAUGGAGAAUUCCAUUCUCAGCAGUGGAUAAGUCCAUCGGAGCAUAGUAAAAUAAAAGAACGUGGCAGAGCAGCCUUUGUAAAAAUGAUAGACAUUUUUCAAAUGAACUAACAUAGUGGCCAUGUACCUACAUAUCUAAAUAAAAUACUUGCAGAAUCAGAAAAUACAGUUUGAAACUCAGUAGUCACGUAGUCUUAUAGUUAGCUUGGGCACUAAAUGGGAUGUUAAGAGAGGAGCAUAGAGUUGUGAGAAUCUUAUGAUCACUGUCUGUCAGACCCUUGGUAGAACAGCACAUCCUGCUGUGGUCCAUGAUGCCGAAGAACGUGUACUACUUGAAGAAAGUUUAGAGGAGAAUCACAGACGUGCUUAAAGAGAACGACGACAAGAUCUACUUGGAGAAAGAAAACCUGUAAAGUAACUAAACCACAGUUUCCAAGUAUAUAAAGGCUUUGCUUCCUUUCUUUGGAGAGAAAAAAAGACAUACAAGAAAAAAUGGACUCAACUCCAACUCUUUGGAGACUUGAGUUAGACAGUGGGCCAGCGAGUGCUGGGGGAGCAUUCCUA